GUGGGGAAUAUUGCACAAUGGGGGAAACCCUGAUGCAGCAACGCCGCGUGAAGGAAGAAGGCCUUUGGGUCGUAAACUUCUGUUCUAAGGGAAGAAAAGGACUGUACCUUAGGAGCAAGUCCCGGCUAACUACGUGCCAGCAGCCGCGGUAAUACGUAGGGGGCAAGCGUUAUCCGGAAUUAUUGGGCGUAAAGAGUACGUAGGUGGCUACCUAAGCACGGGGUUUAAGGCUAUGGCUUAACCAUAGUUCGCCUUGUGAACUGGGCUGCUUGAGUGCAGGAGAGGAAAGCGGAAUUCCUAGUGUAGCGGUGAAAUGCGUAGAUAUUAGGAGGAACACCAGUGGCGAAGGCGGCUUUCUGGACUGUAACUGACACUGAGGUACGAAAGCGUGGGGAGCAAACAGGAUUAGAAACCCUAGUAGUCC
rnacentral:rRNA from 1 species